rnacentral:antisense_RNA from 1 species
CGCUAUGGCGGCUGUGCGUGGGAUACCUUCGGGUGUGCCGGGUUCCUUGGUAACCGGUCCGCGAACCUGUGCACAGCUGCCACCUUC